rnacentral:rRNA from 1 species
UACGGGGGGAGCAAGCGUUGUUCGGAUUUACUGGGCGUAAAGGGCGCGUAGGCGGCGCAACAAGUCACUUGUGAAAUCUCCGGGCUUAACCCGGAGCGGUCAAGUGAUACUGUCGUGCUAGAGUGCGGAAGGGGCUACUGGAAUUCUCGGUGUAGCGGUGAAAUGCGUAGAUAUUGGGAAGAACACCGGUGGCGAAGGCGGCGACCUGGUCCUUGACUGGACGCUGAGGCGCGAAAGCGUGGGGAGCAAACAGG